GGUGGUUCUUGGGUGACGCACCCCGGAAUCAGCCUCCUUUCUCUCUGGUUCCAGGUACCUGAGAACCGCA
rfam:Myotis lucifugus cont2.53078, whole genome shotgun sequence.